CUUCUAUUGAACUAUUUACUGACCAUCAAUAUACGUCUGUCGAUCGAUAAAUAUCGUUAUUGAAUUGUCGUCCAGCCCUAAUCACAAGCAACCGGCAAGUGUAACCCUUGGUGCAAUGAGGUGCUUUUCUGUGCAUCAAAGACUGCAAUAUUCAGCGGCAACUUGAUGGAGCAACUAGAAAUGAAAGGUCAUUUGCCGAAGUAGUGGAAACGACGCCAAACUAUGGACUUCUCCGCACAUUGUAGCCACAAUCUUGCCGUUGGAGGACAUCUGCAAAGGAGCUGUUGACACAAACGACUCUUCUUCAUCCAUUCUUCAGCUUCAAAGCUGGCUAAUCCGAGUGCCCCAAUGCCCCUAGAAGCUCCUUCAACAGACCAGCCAGCAACUCCAUUCAGAUGAGCAGUGUGUGGGGAAAAAACCGGGUGACAUGACUGACAUGGGCAACGAUGAAGAAGAGAUGUGAGCAGCACAACUUCUGAAUGAACACCUUUUUUUGAAAGUAGAAAAAAAUCCUGCCUGGUUGGUGUUUUUAAAAACUAAACUGUUGUCAUCUUAGUCAACUAAGCAAUCCUUUCUCAUACCCUCUCUACACAUUCUAAAUAUUAGAAUGACAUGUAAAGUUUUUAGUAAAGUAUUUUUGUUCUAAAAAGUAAAAUUCAUAGAUUAACGCUGGAGUGAAAUAUUUCAAGCCAUUAUUUGUUGUAAUUUUGAUGAUG